rnacentral:rRNA from 1 species
ACGAACGCUGGCGGCGUGCUUAACCCCUGCAAGUCGCACGGUGAACUCCGCUUGCGGGGGGAUCAGUGGCGAACGGGUGAGUAACACGUGGGCAACCUGCCCUCAGCUCUGGGAUAACUCCAAGAAAUUGGGGCUAAUACCGGAUAUGACCGCUGACCGCAUGGUCUGGUGGUGGAAAGAUUUAUCGGCUGGGGAUGGGCCCGCGGCCUAUCAGCUUGUUGGUGGGGUAGUGGCCUACCAAGGCGACGACGGGUAGCCGGCCUGAGAGGGUGACCGGCCACACUGGGACUGAGACACGGCCCAGACUCCUACGGGAGGCAGCAGUGGGGAAUAUUGCGCAAUGGGCGAAAGCCUGACGCAGCGACGCCGCGUGGGGGAUGACGGCCUUCGGGUUGUAAACCUCUUUCAGCAGGGACGAAGCGAAAGUGACGGUACCUGCAGAAGAAGCACCGGCCAACUACGUG